rfam:Zea mays cultivar B73 chromosome 1, whole genome shotgun sequence.
AUACAUUUCUUGCCCUUUUGUCUAAGAUAAAGUGUAAUAUUUGUUCUCAUCAGUUUCAUAUACGAUAUGUGGACCAUAUGUUUACUUUGAUAUUAAAUUUAUUUUUUUUGGGUGUCGAGACAAGAUCUUCGAGGCCCUAGGGCCUACCGGUAAGGGAGAGCACACGAGGAAAGGACUUCUAGCUGUCAGGGGUCACCCAAU